GGGACCGCAAGGGUUUCGACGUUUCAGUGGAGGCUACUCCGUGAAGCAGGUCGAGAGUGGGUUACCUCUCGUUAAUCAAUGAUCCAAAACAAGUAAAUGCGAAAAACACUCUUGUUAAAGUAGCUCGUAAGGCCGCUCCUGUAGCCGCUUAAGGAUCCUUAAGAAACAAAUCUUUGUUUUGAUCUCGAGCCCUAGUUAGUGACUCCGUUAAGCAAACUAGGCUAAACCCCCAACGGAUGCAGCUCAUGAUCUCCUCUGGUAGAUCAUUUGCCCAAGACUUUACCAGAGCAUCCUGUUACCUGGGAUAAUAGGUAAUUCCUGCCGUGAGGGUUAGAUCGGCUAAACCUGUGAAUGAGUGGAGCGCUAUGAUCUGUUGCGGACGGCAGUUCGACUCUGCCCGGUUCCAUUA
rnacentral:tmRNA from 1 species